AGAGUUUGAUCCUGGCUCAAGACGAACGCUGGCGGCGUGCCUAAUACAUGCUAGUCGAGCGGACAGAAGGGAGCUUGCUCCCGGAUGUUAGCGGCGGACGGGUGAGUAACACGUGGGUAACCUGCCUGUAAGACUGGGAUAACUCCGGGAAACCGGAGCUAAUACCGGAUAGUUCCUUGAACCGCAUGGUUCAAGGAUGAAAGACGGUUUCGGCUGUCACUUACAGAUGGACCCGCGGCGCAUUAUCUAGUUGGUGGGGUAAUGGCUCACCAAGGCAACGAUGCGUAGCCGACCUGAGAGGGUGAUCGGCCACACUGGGACUGAGACACGGCCCAGACUCCUACGGGAGGCAGCAUUACGGAAUCUUCCGCAAUGGACGAAAGUCUGACAGAGCAACGCCGCGUGAGUGAUGAAGGUUUUCGGAUCGUAAAGCACUGUUGUUAGGGAAGAACAAGUGUGAGAGUAACUGCUCGCACCUUGACGGGACCUAACCAGAAAGCCACUGCUAACUACCUGCCUGCAGCCGCGGUAAUACGUAGGUGGCAAGCGUUGUCCGGAAUUAUUGGGCGUAAAGGGCUCGCACGCGGUUUCUUAAGUCUGAUGUCCAAAGCCCCGGCUCAACCGGGGAGGGUGCUUGGAAACUGGGAAA
rnacentral:rRNA from 1 species